rnacentral:rRNA from 1 species
UACGAAGGGGGCUAGCGUUGCUCGGAAUCACUGGGCGUAAAGCGCACGUAGGCGGACUCUUAAGUCGGUGGUGAAAUCCUGGAGCUCAACUCCAGAACUGCCCUUCGAUACUGAGAGUCUCGAGUCCGGGAGAGGUGAGUGGAACUGCGAGUGUAGAGGUGAAAUUCGUAGAUAUUCGCAAGAACACCAGUGGCGAAGGCGGACUCACUGGUCCGGUACUGACGCUGAGGUGCGAAAGCGUGGGGAGCA